GUUCUUAGCUCAGUCGGGAUUGAGCGUUAGGCCUUUAACCUAACGGUUCGUGGUUCAAGUCCCCGGGCG